rnacentral:rRNA from 1 species
GACGAACGCUGGCGGCGUGCCUAAUACAUGCAAGUAGAACGCUGAAGGAGGAGCUUGCUUCUCUGGAUGAGUUGCGAACGGGUGAGUAACGCGUAGGUAACCUGCCUGGUAGCGGGGGAUAACUAUUGGAAACGAUAGCUAAUACCGCAUAAGAGUAGAUGUUGCAUGACAUUUGCUUAAAAGGUGCAAUUGCAUCACUACCAGAUGGACCUGCGUUGUAUUAGCUAGUUGGUGGGGUAACGGCUCACCAAGGCGACGAUACAUAGCCGACCUGAGAGGGGGAUCGGCCACACUGGGACUGAGACACGGCCCAGACUCCUACGGGAGGCAGCAGUAGGGAAUCUUCGGCAAUGGACGGAAGUCUGACCGAGCAACGCCGCGUGAGUGAAGAAGGUUUUCGGAUCGUAAAGCUCUGUUGUAAGAGAAGAACGAGUGUGAGAGUGGAAAGUUCACACUGUGACGGUAUCUUACCAGAAAGGGACGGCUAACUACGUG